rnacentral:rRNA from 1 species
AGUGAACGCUGGCGGUAGGCCUAACACAUGCAAGUCGAACGGAAGCACAGUAAUAGCUUGCUAUUACGGGUGGCGAGGGGCGGACGGGUGAGGAGUACAUCGCAAUCGACUUUUUCGUGGGGGAUAACGUAGGGAGACAUACGCUAAUACCGCAUACGACCUACGGGUGAAAGCAGGGGAGCUUCGGACCUUGCGCGAUUGAUUGAGCCGAUGUCGGAUUAGGUAGUUGGCGGGGUAAAGGCCCACCAAGGCGACGAUCCGUAGCUGGUCUGAGAGGAUGAACAGCCACACUGGAACUGAGACACGGUCCAGACUCCUACGGGAGGCAGCAGUGGGGAAUAUUGGACAAUGGGCGGAAGCCUGCUCCAGCCAUACCGGGUGGGUGAAGAAGGCCUUCGGGUUGUAAAGCCCUUUUGUUGGGAAAGAAAAGCAGCAGGUUAAUCCCCCGCUGUUCUGACGGUACCCAAUGAAUAAGCACCGGCUAACUUCGUG